GUUUCUCAACACCCCUCGAAACCCUAACCUACCGGCGGCAGCCCUCUCCUCCCAUUCACUAAAAUUUCCCUCCCGUGUUUUUACGCCCUCGACUCAGACCCUUCACCACACCGCCGUCCCCGGCGGACGAACCCCCUCUUGCUUCUCGCUCUUUAAAUCUCACAUAGUAGAUACGUAUAUGCAUGUUCAUCUGAUCAUUACAACUUCGGAGUUUUGAGUGACAUAGUUGUCGGUAAAUUUCCUCUUUAUUUCUUUUGCCGGAAAAUAUCCUUUCAGGCUCUAUUACCACAAAUACUCACGCUUUGUCUUUGUUGCAUGUUUGGCUCAGUCUGUUCUUUUUUUAAUCACGGCGUUGGAUCUGUGGGCAUUAUGUCCUGGUAAGUGGUUUUUAUUAGGUUAACUUCUAGGGUUUAUCUCUCUGUGUGUUUGGUUUUAGUUGUAUUUAAAUUAUACGUUUUUUGUUAAGGAAUAGCUCUAAAGAUUGAUGCAAUGCAGGGUUAGGUUUUUUUAUGUGACAAAGGUUGGGGUCUUUUAUGUACAGUUAAAUAACAACAAUAAUCUAGUUUUAUGGAUUGUGAAUUUGGGGCUUUGCUGACAUGAUUGCUUUGUUCAAUCAUGCACACCACAUGUUUGACAAUAUGUCUAACAGAGAUUCCAUGUAGCCAUGUAGAGUUUUUUUUGUUUGCUUUUGUGUUUAAGUAAUUUGUAACUUUGUUACUUAACUAUUGUUAUGCAUCAGUUUUUCAUGAAACCAAUCAAUUUGUUGAAGUGAGUAAAUAAAAAGUAGAAUUCUUAUCUACUAAAGAAGCAGGUGAGUUGGUUGUUUAUAAUUCAAUUGAAUUGUUAUCUAAUGUUGCUGCUGUCUGUCAUCUAUAUUUUUUAAUUCAAAGUACAGACAUCUGUAUUUGCUUGUGUAGUUGUACUGCAGGUCACAAUCGAAGGGUUUGAAAGAUAUAAAAACAAGUUUGUGGCCGAAGACUUCAGUCUUAAAGUUAACUUUCUUUUUGGUAUGUUGAAAAGAAAAAGGGGCGAAAGCAGUAUUGCUUUUAUGGUUGGAAACCAAGGUUUUGCCUCUUGUUUUUUGGGGUUUUUAUUUUAGACCUAGGCUUAGGCAAGAAGAGGGACGAAUACAGAUGAUAGCAGCGGCGAUGUUGGCUUCCGGCAAUGAGCACACCGGGUUAGACAUUGCACGUUUCUGGUCUGUCCGAUUCCUACAGACCUGAGAACGGUCCAUGACUUUGUUAUGGAAAGAAGAUGAGAAACAUCCGCAAUCAAAAAUUGAAGAAUUAGUCUUAAAAUUAAUGUGGGAAUUGAUUCACAAGGCGUUUAAUGGCCCGGAAUGAAAUCGUUAAAAAUGUCUCAAGGCGGCAUCUACGGAUUGGGAUGCAAGGUUUGACGAGCCCAGUUCGGGUUGCAAGGUGUAUGAAUCGGCUGGUUUGACAAGUUUUUGGGUUGAAAACUUUAUUGGAUUCAUUUAGAGAACAUGUAUAUUGUGUCAAACUGUAUAAGUUUGUGUUUCGUUUUUUUUUUCAUUCGAGAAACAUGUACUUUUCGGAAACGUUUUCAAUAUUAGUUGAAAAUUUGUUGUUGGGGGUAUUUAUUAUGAAAUAUAAAUGAAAAAUCAU
rnacentral:lncRNA from 1 species